rnacentral:rRNA from 1 species
GGAAUUUUCCGCAAUGGGCGAAAGCCUGACGGAGCAACGCCGCGUGGGGGAUGACGCUUUUCGGAGUGUAAACCCCUUUUCCCAGGGAAGAACACAAUGACGGUACCUGGGGAAUAAGGACCGGCUAACUACGUGCCAGCAGCCGCGGUAAUACGUAGGGUCCGAGCGUUGUCCGGAGUUACUGGGCGUAAAGCGCGCGCAGGCGGUUCGAUAAGACUGGCGUGAAAGCCCCCGGCUCAACCGGGGAGGGUCGUUGGUGACUGUCGGACUUGAAGACAGCAGGGGCAGGUGGAAUUCCCGGUGUAGUGGUGAAAUGCGUAGAGAUCGGGAGGAACACCCGUGGCGAAGGCGGCCUGCUGGGCUGGUCUUGACGCUGAGGCGCGAAGGCGUGGGGAGCGAA